AUGCCUCCAGCCUGGCCACUGUGUGGAGUCCUCUUCCUGGAGCUGGAGGAUUUCUGUCGGGGACUAGUGGAUUUCUCCCAGACCCAGCAACGUCAUUGGCAAGUCCCUGGGCAUCCAGGCAUCCAUGAAGUUCUUAAGAUUAGCUUUGGAGGCAGCUUCCUUAGUCUCGGGACCCACACUGCUCUGACUCUUCUGUGUUUGGGCUUAGCACAAUUCCUAAUGUACAUCAGACCCUAAAGGAAGUGUGUGCUGUGAGGACAGCCUGAUGAAAUCCUGGCACAGGAAGGAGAGGCAGUACAGGACUGUGGUUUCUGAGCCAAACUGGUGACACAAGACUCGAGCCCUGGUC
rnacentral:lncRNA from 1 species